UAAGACGUAGGGGGCGAGCGUUGUCCGGAUUUAUUGGGCGUAAAGAGCGCGUAGGCGGCCCGGAAAGUCGGAUGUGAAAACCCGGGGCUCAACCCCGGGCCUGCAUCCGAUACUCCCGGGCUGGAGGCAGGUAGGGGAGAUCGGAAUUCCUGGUGUAGCGGUGAAAUGCGCAGAUAUCAGGAGGAACACCGGUGGCGAAGGCGGAUCUCUGGGCCUGUCCUGACGCUGAGGCGCGAAAGCUAGGGGAGCGAACAGGAUUAGAUACCCUGGUAGUCCUAGCCGUAAACGUUGGGUGCUAGGUGUGGGGCGGCGAUUGACCCGCUCCGUGCCGUAGCUAACGCAUUAAGCACCCCGCCUGGGGAGUACGGCCGCAAGGUUA
rnacentral:rRNA from 1 species